GAUCUCCUGCAGCCUAGCACUUGGUUUUUAAAAGAGGUAUACCUCUCAGUCUGACAUGUCUUCACUCUUUCUCGCGUUAGCGCAAGCAUAACUGCAUUGUCUGUUGAAGUCCCAUCAAAUGUACUUGCUGAAAUAUCUGGCAAAUAUUGUGGGAACAGAAACACAUGCUAACAAAUGUUGUGGAGAAUGGAAAGACAAAUACUUGCCAAUUAAUGAUAAAAGAAAUGCCUAAUUUGAAGAAUGCAUUACACUUAUUUUCAUAAUCAAGAAGAUGUGUCAAGAUGAACUCAAACAAUGGAACAUUUUAUAUAAUUUCUGUACUUGUUGGAUGGGCUGAAGCAUUCAUAAUGUGUCUCCAUAUCUUGUUAUACCAAGCUUAGGACUGAUGUCAUCAUUAAGUCUUAGAUUCAAGCAAGUUCAAGUCGUAUUUACCUCUUCAUAUUUGAGUGAAAAGACAUCAAGAUCACAUUACAAACAUUGUUCUUUUUUAAUAAAAAUAAUUGUCAUA
rnacentral:lncRNA from 1 species